UACGAAGGGGACUAGCGUUGUUCGGAAUCACUGGGCGUAAAGCGCACGUAGGCGGAUAUGUCAGUCAGGGGUGAAAUCCCGGGGCUUAACCUCGGAACUGCCUUUGAUACAGCAUAUCUUGAGUCCGAUAGAGGUGGGUGGAAUUCCUAGUGUAGAGGUGAAAUUCGUAGAUAUUAGGAAGAACACCGGUGACGAAGGCGGCCCACUGGAUCGGUACUGACGCUGAGGUGCGAAAGCGUGGGGAGCAAACAGG
rnacentral:rRNA from 1 species